UACGGAGGAUCCAAGCGUUAUCCGGAAUCAUUGGGUUUAAAGGGUCCGUAGGCGGUUUAGUAAGUCAGUGGUGAAAGCCCAUCGCUCAACGGUGGAACGGCCAUUGAUACUGCUGAACUUGAAUUAUUAGGAAGUAACUAGAAUAUGUAGUGUAGCGGUGAAAUGCUUAGAGAUUACAUGGAAUACCAAUUGCGAAGGCAGCUGGCUACACGAAUAUUGACACUGAUGCACGAAAGCGUGGGGAUCAAACAGGA
rnacentral:rRNA from 1 species